CUGUGUCUCUGUGUGUGCUGAACAUCUGGAAUCAGAUUGAGUCAGGCUGCAUCAGCUGAAUCUGUUAUUUGUAAAUAUCAAUAUUUUUUAUUCAGGUGUGGGGAUAAUAUGUAAGACUGCAGUGAAGCGAUGUACCAGAUUAAUCCCUGGCCAAAGAACAGUUCUCCACAGUCGCUGUCCACAUGGGUCAGUGGGACCAAGAAGCACUCUGCUAAUGUGAGACUCUGACCAGCAACAUCCAGCAAGACCCAGACAGCGUUUUCUAUCUCCCAGCUGGUGUUUUUUGUUUGUCUGUGACUGGAGAGUCAGAUUUUUGUUGAGGCUGGAGGAACAGCCUCACACUUGCAGAGGUUAAUACACGCUACUGAUCCCUGAUGGGAGAAUCAUCACCUCUGCCAACAAAGAAGCCUGGUGGAUAUUUGUUUGCAGUCUGAUGAUGGGACAUCAUGCUCUGCAUCUUCAAAUCUUUUUGCAGGAUCAGAAAACAAAACCAGGAGGCCUGUAAAUGUUUCUUCUCCAAUUGGAUGAUGAUAAGACUGUGACACGGGAUGCCACCUUUAGUCUUGUGAUGAAGCAAAGCUCAGGAAGAAGUGUGAUUAAAUGGUACCCACAUGUGUGCUGCUGAGAAGGAUGUACAGGGGCACCUGCAGCCAAAUCCAAGCCUCCUCAGCAACUUCAGGUCUGUCAGCGUGCUGAGGUCACAGAAACAAGAAAAGCAGCUUCAGACUUCAGAGUGUUGUUUACAGUUUUCUGUCAUCAUGAUCUCCCCUGAAGUUUAUCACUAUUAUACAAGCAAGCAGAGCGGCAGUUUGUGCUCACAGAUGGUGACGGUGUGGAGAGACGGUGGUGUUUCCUCAGAAGAACUAGCAGAGUCACAAAGGGCACGAGUCCUUCUCACCACCUUGACUUGUUGAUCAGUGGAUACACUUGUCUCCCCUUUAAAGGAGAUACUCUUAGAGAGAGACGAAUCGAGUCAUCCUUAAAUGUUAGUGCUUUCAAAUACACAAACAUUUUUAAAGGACAAAAACGAACAUCCAACUUUGACUGUAAUACAAUUAAAUCUUUGCAUGUGUGUUUUCAAACUCUCAGAUGGGCAGGAUAUCACUAUUGGACUGUCUAACCUGCAGGAGCAGCACUGAAUAACCACCACACAUGAUCAGUUCCUGCAACAUUCAGCAGCUCUGCUUUUGCUGGAGAGGAAACUACACCAGUGUACUGGGAUGUUUCACCAACACGUGCCAGACGCUGUUCCUUCAUGGUGACAUCACCAGAGACGGCCCCGCCCACCUCAUGACCUCGCCAUUGAUCAUGAUGAUUUUAAUGAUGACAGCGAGCGGAACUAAGACUGUAAAAAUCAGAAUGUUUAGAUGCUUUCUAAUUAUUAAUGAAUACUGAGAGCCUCUUUCUGUUUUGUCUGUUUGUUUGUUUUUACCUCAUUUGUUACUAACAAAGUUCACCAAACUCCCACAGUUUACAUUCUGUAUGUUUCCAUCUUUACCAGCCACACUCUUAACUGCAAUUAAGAAAACAAACCGUAGAAAUCGUCGUUUUUCUCUUUUGUAAUUGAUGAUAAUUCAGUGAAUAUACUGCGCUGCUUCCUUUAAUUGCGUCUCACAUUGCUUUAAGUUUUUCCAGUGUCCAGUUAUUUUUUACUGUUGUUUGAAUUCUCUGCAUGUUUGACCCUGUAGACUGUUUGAUGAACUGCUUGUCUUCCUGUUUGUAACCGCCGCCUGUUUUUGACUAAAGAUUUGGAUUUCUGACUGUAA